CCUACGGGUGGCAGCAGUGGGGAAUAUUGGUCAAUGGGCGAAAGCCUGAACCAGCCAAGUAGCGUGAAUGAUGACUGCCCUACUGAUUGUAAACUUCUUUUAUAAGGGAAUAAAUUACGGCACGUGUGCCUUUUUGUCUGUACUUUAUGAAUAAGGAUCGGCUAACUCCGUGCCAGCAGCCGCGGUAAUACGGAGGGUCCGGGCGUUAUCCGGAUUUAGUGGGUUUAAAGGGAGCGUAGAUGGGGUGUUAAGUCAGUUGUGAAAGGUUGCGGCUUAACCGUAAAAUUGCAAUUGAUACUGGCAGCCUGGAGUACAGGUGAGGUAGGCGGAAUUCGUGGUGUAGCGGUGAAAUGCGUAGAUAUCACGAAGAACUCCGAUGGCGAAGGCAGCUUACUAAACUAUAACUGACAUUGAUGCUCGAAAGUGUGGUGAUCAAACAGGAUUAGAUACCCUAGUAGUC
rnacentral:rRNA from 1 species